rnacentral:rRNA from 1 species
GGAAUAUUGGGCAAUGGGGGAAACCCUGACCCAGCGACGCCGCGUGAGGGAAGAAGGUUUUCGGAUUGUAAACCUCUGUCCUUGGUGACGAUAAUGACGGUAGCCAAGGAGGAAGCCACGGCUAACUACGUGCCAGCAGCCGCGGUAAUACGUAGGUGGCGAGCGUUGUCCGGAAUUACUGGGUGUAAAGGGAGCGUAGGCGGGAGAGCAAGUCGACUGUGAAAUCUAUGGGCUUAACCCAUAGCUGCGAUCGAAACUGUUCAUCUUGAGUGAAGUAGAGGCAGGCGGAAUUCCUAGUGUAGCGGUGAAAUGCGUAAAUAUUAGGAGGAACACCAGUGGCGAAGGCGGCCUGCUGGGCUUUAACUGACGCUGAGGCUCGAAAGCGUGGGUAGCAAAC